AGGCAGCAGUGGGGAAUAUUGCACAAUGGGCGCAAGCCUGAUGCAGCCAUGCCGCGUGUAUGAAGAAGGCCUUCGGGUUGUAAAGUACUUUCAGCAGUGAGGAAGGUGGAUAUGUUAAUAGCAUAUUCAUUUGACGUUAGCUGCAGAAGAAGCACCGGCUAACUCCGUGCCAGCAGCCGCGGUAAUACGGAGGGUGCGAGCGUUAAUCGGAAUUACUGGGCGUAAAGCGCAUGCAGGUGGUUUGUUAAGUCAGAUGUGAAGCCCGGGGCUCAACCUCGGAAUUGCAUUUGAAACUGGCAAACUAGAGUACUGUAGAGGGGGUAGAAUUUCAGGUGUAGCGGUGAAAUGCGUAGAGAUCUGAAGGAAUACCGGUGGCGAAGGCGGCCCCCUGGACAGAUACUGACACUCAGAUGCGAAAGCGUGGGGAGCAAACAGGAUUAGAUACCCUGGUAG
rnacentral:rRNA from 1 species